rnacentral:lncRNA from 1 species
AGAAGCCCCAUCAGCUUCUCCACCGAAACAGUUUCGGUCUUGCCGCGCUGCCAUCUCCAAAGCCCACCGAAGUCAGUUGAGUUCCUGCUUUGUUGACCCUACUGCCGUGUGUCUUCCUCGAGCAAACGGCCAGCUCGCUCGCGCCAGCAACGUCCCAGCUGCCACCUCUCAUGUCCGCGUGGUCUUCCCCAGCAGCAGCUCUUGCUGCUUCCUUCGUCCGCAUCUUCAGCCCUUCAUCACCGAAGCCAGCAGUCCAUCGAACUCCCCUCCUUUGCUGCUUCUCUCGCCUGGCCCGGCUUGCACGCCAGCCCACAGCCCAGCCCACGAGUCCACAGAAUUCCUGCAGUGGCCCAAGCUGCCGCUCGUGAACUUCAGCCUUGAAGCCCAGCAAAAAAGUAGUCCAGCAGGCCCAUUCUGUUCAGUCCAUCAGCAGCUCACUUCCAAUUUUAGUCCAGCAACUUCAGCCCGUUGAGUUCAGCGAAGCCCGUGAUUUUGAGGCCCAAGCCCGCAAAGUCAGCCCACUU